CCACCCCGCAGGGGCCCGCCCCCUCCCUACUCAGCUGCCAGAGAAGCGCUCAGCUCUUCAAAGAUCGCCACGCAUCUCGGACGCUGCUUUCGCAAGUACCAGUCAGUCCAGAGAAAAAGUGUGCACGGAGAAGAGGGAGCAAGAGAAAAA